rnacentral:rRNA from 1 species
CCCUUAGACGUUCUGGGCCGCACGCGCGCCACACUGACGAAGGCAACGAGCUUUCCUUUACCGAAAGGUACGGGUAAUCUUUUGAAACUUCGUCGUGCUGGGGAUAGAUCCUUGCAAUUUUUGAUCUUAAACGAGGAAUGCCUAGUAAGCGCAAGUCAUCAACUUGCGUUGAUUACGUCCCUGCCCUUUGUACACACCGCCCGUCGCUACUACCGAUUGAAUGGUUUAGUGAGGCCUUCGGAUCCGCGACUCGUUUGUGGAGAAGUUGGACAAACUCAGUCAUUUAGAGGAAGUAAAAGUCGUAACA